GCCUCAAUCCUGGAGUCCCAACAGAUGGGCCAAACUCCUGAGAGUGCCUGUCUUAGCUCUCAGGACUGAGGUUUGGGAGCCACCAUUCUCAGCGGCCAGGCCAGGCCAGGGACGUUUAAUCCUCCUUAGACUGGACAUGUGGAACAAAAGCCCAGGAGUCAGAAAGAUAUGAAGAAACUGAGACUUAGAGAGGAUAAGAAAAGUCCCAAGGUUACAUAGCACGUGAGGGGCAGAAGUGAAUCCAGAUCAACUGAAGAAAUGCUUAGAGUGGGGAGUUUCCAGGAAAGCCAAGUUCUGGGGUCUUCUGCUGGGUCUGCAGAAGACCCAGCAUCCUCUUCACCAUCCAGGCCUCCUAGUUUCCAAGUGUGACCUCUAGUCUCCGGAUGCCUGAGGUCAGUGGUAUUUCAGUAUGUCCAACUAUGCAAACACA